UACGAAGGGUGCAAGCGUUAAUCGGAAUUACUGGGCGUAAAGCGCGCGUAGGCGGAUGUUUAAGUUGGAUGUGAAAGCCCCGGGCUCAACCUGGGAAUUGCAUUCAAUACUGGGCAUCUAGAGUGUAGUAGAAGAUGGUGGAAUUUCCGGUGUAGCGGUGAAAUGCAUAGAUAUCGGAAGGAACAUCGAUGGCGAAGGCAGCCAUCUGGACUAACACUGACGCUGAGGUGCGAAAGCGUGGGGAGCAAACAGG
rnacentral:misc_RNA from 1 species